rnacentral:rRNA from 1 species
AACGAACGCUGGCGGCGUGGAGAAGACAUGCAAGUCGAACGAGAUUUUCCGUUGUAGCAAUACGAUGGAAAGUCUAGUGGCGAACGGGUGCUUAACACGUGGGCAACCUGCCCCAGACUUCGGGAUAACGCUUCGAAAGAGGUGCUAAUACCGGAUACGUACUACUUGGGCAUCCUGGGAGUUGGAAAGUUUUUCGGUCUGGGAUGGGCCCGCGGCCGAACAGCUAGUUGGUGCGGUAACGGCUCACCAAGGCGACGACGGGUAGCCGGCCUGAGAGGGCGACCGGCCACACUGGGACUGAGACACGGCCCAGACUCCUACGGGAGGCAGCAGUGGGGAAUAUUGCGCAAUGGGCGAAAGCCUGACGCAGCAACGCCGCGUGAGGGAUGACGGCCUUCGGGUUGUAAACCUCUUUCAGCAGGGAAGAAGCGAAAGUGACGGUACCUGCAGAAGAAGCACCGGCUAACUACGUGCCAGCCGCCGCAGUAAGAC